CCCCCCCCCCCCCCCCCCCCCCCCGCGCGGCGGUAUAGGGAUCGGCGGCGCAUAUUAGGCCCAGAGGUCUUGGCGUUCAGAGUGCGCUUGGCGGCGGCGCCAGUGCAGAAAGAAUUCAGCUUCGCCGGGUGGCUGCAAUCAGCUGAGUUCAUCAAGGUGGAUAGCAGCAGCUCGUCUUCUGGCUCUGACAAAGAUAUGAGCUGACUUGAAGAAGAAAUUAAAGAGGGCACGAGUCUGUGCAAUCAGCAGCUGUCUAGUGAUUGCAGAUUCAGACACUGACACAUCUGACAUCUCUUGAUUAUUAAUCUGCUCUUUGAUCAACUAAAAACAGAGUAAUGUGGUAUAUCAACCUCUCUUUUUUUCUCCGCUUCUUGUUUUCUCAGUAGGCAACAAUACAUUUUAGUAUAUAGCAUUUUACUUCAUUAGGAAAUAAAAAUGAAUAGGAACUUUAGAAAUAAAUAUGGUUCUGCAUUAUCCAAAAAUAUAAUUCAUUAGGCAUUAAUAUGGUUCUAAUUAGGCAAUAAUAUGGUUCUUAACCAGGCAAAAUAGUUUACUUCAUUGGGCAAUGUUUAAUUUAGAAUUUAAGAAUUCAUUUUCAUUGGUUGUCUAAAGUGCAAGGUAAUAUACAACUAUCAGCACUGGUAUUUAACAUAGAACCUAGUUCCUUAGCCUGACCACAUGGGAAUUCAUUUUCAUUGGUUGUCUAAAGUGCAAGGUAAUAGAACCUAGUGCGCAGUCAUCUUGAGAGUAUAUAUUCAAAAUUCAUUAGGCUAUAAUAUGUACUAAUUUAGGCAGUUAUGUGGUUUUUAAUUAGGCAAUAAUAUGGCACUGAAAAAGUAAUAUAGUUUACUUCAAUAGGUAAUGUUAUUGGACAUGUAAUUUUCAGUAUUUUGUAUAGAGAUUGCAGCAUUCCCACUAGAUCUAAAAGCAAAAACUAUUGUUCAGUUUUUGAAGCAUGAUCUGAACUAUUAUCACAAAGAAAUAGGAGCAUUCCUACUAGAUCCCAUAUGUUG